rnacentral:rRNA from 1 species
GAUGAACGCUAGCGGCAGGCUUAACACAUGCAAGUCGAGGGGCAGCGGGGGGCGCGCUUGCGCGUCCCGCCGGCGACCGGCGCACGGGUGAGUAACACGUAUGCAACCUGCCCCCGCCAGGGGUACAACCCUCCGAAAGGGGGGCUGAUACCGCGUACAUCCCCCGGGGGCAUCCCCGGGGGAGGAAAGCCCUACGGGGCGGGCGGGGAUGGGCAUGCGGCGCAUUAGGAAGACGGCGGUGUGACGGACCACCGUUCCGACGAUGCGUAGGGGUUCUGAGAGGAAGGUCCCCCACAUUGGAACUGAGACACGGUCCAA